rnacentral:rRNA from 1 species
ACACGUACGCAACUCCCCUAACUAAAGGAUAGCCCAUAGAAAUGUGGAUUAACCCUUUAUAGUACGACUGGUGCAUCAACUGGUUGUUAAAACUCCGGUGGUUAGGGAUGGGCGUGCGUCUGAUUAGGUAUGGUAGGGUAACGGCCUACCAAGCCAACGAUCAGUAGCUGAUGUGAGAGCAUGAUCAGACACGGGCACUGAGACACGGGCCCGACUCCUACGGGAGGCAGCAGUAAGGAAUAUUGGAAUGGACGCAAGUCUGAACCAGCCAUGCCGCGUGAAGGAUGAAGGUCCUCUGGAUUGUACUUCUUUUAUCUGGGACGAAACACUGGUUUUCUAACCAGCUUGACGGUACCAGAGGAAAGCACCGGCUAACUCCGUGCCAGCAGCCGCGGUAAUACGGAGGGUGCAAGCGUUAUCGAUUCACUGGGUUUAAAGGGUGCGUAGGUGGGUAUGUAAGUCCGUGGUGAAAUCCUGCCUUAACUGCAGAACUGCCGUGGAUACUAUAUAUCUUGAAUAUCGUGGAGGUUAGUGGAAGGUCAUGUAGCGGUGAAAUGCUUAGAGAUGACAUGGAACACCGAUUGCGAAGGCAGCGCUACACGAUAAUUGACACUGAGGCACGAAAGCGUGGGUAGCAAACAGGAUUAGAUACUGGUAGUCCACGCCCUAAACGAUGGAUACUCGACAUCAGCGAUAUUACUGUUGGUGUC